UACAGAGGGUGCGAGCGUUGUUCGGAAUUAUUGGGCGUAAAGAGCUCGUAGGCGGUCCGUUAAGUCGGAAGUGAAAUCUCAAGGCUCAACCUUGAAAUCGCUUUCGAUACUGGCGGACUUGAGGCAGGUAGGGGAAGGUGGAAUUCCUGGUGUAGCGGUGAAAUGCGCAGAUAUCAGGAGGAACACCGGUGGCGAAGGCGGCCUUCUGGGCCUGUUCUGACGCUGAGGAGCGAAAGCGUGGGGAGCAAACAGG
rnacentral:rRNA from 1 species